rnacentral:rRNA from 1 species
CCUACGGGUGGCAGCAGUGAGGAAUAUUGGGCAAUGGACGAGAGUCUGAACCAGCAAAGUAGCGUGAAGGAUGACUGCCCUAUGGGUUGUAAACUUCUUUUAUAAAGGAAUAAAACGAGGCACGUGUGCAUUUUUGCAUGUACUUUAUGAAUAAGGAUCGGCUAACUCCGUGCCAGCAGCCGCGGUAAUACGGAGGAUCCGAGCGUUAUCCGGAUUUAUUGGGUUUAAGGGGAGCGUAGAUGGGUUGUUAAGUCAGUUGUUAAAGUUUGCGGCUCAACCGUAAAAUUGCAAUGGAUACUGGCAGCCUUGAGUACAGUUGAGGUAGGCGGAAUUCGUGGGGUAGCGGUGAAAUGCUUAGAUAUCACGAAGAACCCCGAUUGCGAAGGCAGCUUACGAAACUGUGACUGACAUUGAUGCUCGAAAGUGGGGGUAUCAAACAGGAUUAGAUACCCCGGUAGUC